rnacentral:rRNA from 1 species
AAUAGCCUAACGGCUGAACCAGCAACUUGGAGGAACAGAUAGCGCAAGCUAUUUGCAUUAACUAAUGCAGAAUCGACUUCGUUGAAUAAAGUUCCAGAUAGAAUUUGAUAAUGACAUAGCCUAUCUGAAUUUCUUGACCAAAUUACGUGCCAGCUGUCGCGGUAAUACGUAGAAGAUUAGUGUUAUUCAUCUUUAAUAGGUUUAAAGGGUACCUAGACGGUAAACCAAGCCAAUGUGGGACUAGUUUGCUAGAGUUUAUAUGGGCGGGAGCAUUAAAGUACUAGUGGUGUAGAGAUAGAAUAUUUUGAUACCUUAUCCUUUACGGGGUGACAUGGCACUGAUAACGGCGAAAGCAUCUCCUUAUGUAACAACUGACGUUGAGGGACGAAGGCUUUGUGUAGCAAUCAGGAUUAGAUACCCUGGUAGUCGAAGCAGAAAAUUAUGAGUGUUAUAGAUUAGAUUAACUUACUAAUAAUGCUAGUUAGAGAGAUCUCUAAGUCAUCUAUUAGUUUGUUGAAAAUGUAUAAAUUAAAGUGUAAGCAUUCCACCUCAAGAGUAAUAUGGCAACAUCGGAACUGAAACCAUUAGACCGUUUCUGAAACCAGUAGUGAAGUAUGUUGUUUAAUUUGAUGAUCCGCAAAAAACCUUACCACAGUUUGAAUAUUUAGAUUUGAGAUAUCUUCAGGUUGACCCCUGAAGAUAAGAUCUAUUUACAAGCGCUGCACGGUUGUCUUCAGUUAAUGUCGCGAGACUUUGGUUAGUUCCAUUAAAUUAACGUAAGCCCUUGCUUUAUUUUUAGAUAAAGUUGCUCACCCAUUACAUCGGGUACUGAUAAUAGGGAAUAAGGCAAAUCAUCAUGGCCUAAAUACUGUGGGCUAUAGACGUGCCACGUAAUCCUAACAAAAGGGUGUGAAAUCGCGAGAUUGAGCUAAUCCCCCAAAUACGGAUAUACACUAACAAU